GAUGAAGAACGUAGCGAAAUGCGAUAAGUAAUGCGAAUUGCAGAAUUUCCGUGAGUCAUCGAAUCUUUGAACGCACAUUGCGCCCACUGGUAUUCUGGCGGGCAUGCCUGUUCGAGCGUCAUUACGCCCCUCAAGUCCCCUGUGGACUUGGUGUUGGGGAUCGGCGAGGCUGGUUUUCCAGCACAGCCGUCCCUUAAAUUAAUUGGCGGUCUCGCCGUGGCCCUCCUCUGCGCAGUAGUAAAACACUCGCAACAGGAGCCCGGCGCGGUCCACUGCCGUAAAACCCCCCAACUUUUUAUAGUUGACCUCGAAUCAGGUAGGACUACCCGCUGAACUUAAGCAUAUCAAUAAGCAGAGGA
rnacentral:misc_RNA from 1 species